CAGCAUAAAUACAUUGGUGGUGGUGGUGGGUGACACAGUUGAGUUAUGUCCCAAGAGAAAGUCUCAGUGCCAAAGAAAUUGGUGUCUGCUCUUUGGUUAAAAAGUACAAUG